rnacentral:tRNA from 1 species
AGGUCGAUGGUGUAGUGGAAACAUGAUGGUCUCCAAAACCAUUGUCGCAGGUUCGAACCCUGCUCGACCUG